UACGAAGGGGGCUAGCGUUGUUCGGAAUUACUGGGCGUAAAGCGCACGUAGGCGGAUAUUUAAGUCAGGGGUGAAAUCCCAGAGCUCAACUCUGGAACUGCCUUUGAUACUGGGUAUCUUGAGUAUGGAAGAGGUAAGUGGAAUUGCGAGUGUAGAGGUGAAAUUCGUAGAUAUUCGCAGGAACACCAGUGGCGAAGGCGGCUUACUGGUCCAUUACUGACGCUGAGGCGCGAAAGCGUGGGGAGCAAACAGGAUUAGAUACCCGCGUAGUCC
rnacentral:rRNA from 1 species